CAAACGGUGAAGGUGAUUUCCCA
rnacentral:siRNA from 1 species